AGCAAAGUCAAGCGAAUCGAUCGUGAUGCAGUGUCGACGAGUAAUCCUAAGUAUGGUCAUAUUAUUGGCCCUAAGCGCUGUGAUCGGAAUUGCAGAUGCAUGCGCAGGCGGUGGAGGUGGUGCGGGCGGAGGAAGAGGUGGACACGGAAUCAACAUUCAUAUAGGUUUGCUCGAUGAAGAUGCUGACGGAGUACAGGGCAAUGAUCUUUUAGGGAAUUUCAAGGAAAUCGCUGAUCUGAAUGGAUAGUCACUAUGCGUUCAACAUAUAAGACGGAAGGAGAGAUAGCAAAUGUGAGCCGAUUCUGCUGAAGAUCUCUAAAUCUAUGAAAUCUAAAAUAAAGCAAUUAUGAAUUGAUUGUGAUUUGUAAUUAAAAUUGCAGUGCUUUUUAUCUGGACAUUCAAUUUUUUGGUUCUGAAUUCACACACAGAGCUAGUUUCUUUGUAAAACGUCAAUGAAAAUUAAUAAAAAUGUUAAUAAAUGAUUUAUGAAAAUGAUUUAAAUGGAAGUCGAGGACAAUUCGAGUGGCUAACAAUCUUUGAAUGAUUGAAUAUCGUCAUCAAUAACAAUUUCAUGGCACGGAUGCUCACACCUAAUAUAUUUGGGUAGAUCCGUUC
rnacentral:misc_RNA from 1 species